GAUGAACGCUGGCGGCGUGCCUAAUACAUGCAAGUCGAGCGCAGCGGUGACGGGUGAGUAACACGUGGAUAACCUCCUAUAAGACUGGGAUAACUUCGGGAAACCGGGGCUAAACCGGAUAUUUAUAGUUGGUUCCGCGCUGCAUUCGCUAGUUGGUAAGGUAACGGCUUACCAAGGCAACGAUGCAUCGCCGACCUGAGAGGGUGAGCGGCCACACUGGAACUGAGACACGGUCCAGACUCCGACGGGAGGCAGCAGUAGGGAAUCGUCGGCAAUGGGCGAAAGCCUGACGGAGCAACGCCGCGUGAGUGAUGAAGGUCUUCGGAUCGUAAAACUCUGUUAUUAGGGAAGCGGUACCUAAUCAGAAAGCCACGGCUAACUACGUGCCAGCAGCCGCGGUAAUUC
rnacentral:rRNA from 1 species